GAGAGAGAAGAGAGAGAAAGCUUUUCUGGUCUGAAGGAAAGAAAGAAAGAAGUCUGUGUGUGUGUCUAUGUGGAGAGAGAGAGAGAGAGAGAGAGAGAGAGAGAGAGAGAGAUGAAACAGAAACAAGGCUCGAGCUUCAGUGGUUUUGUCGAGAAAGUAGCGUAGAUAUAUACGGAUAUCUAUGUACAGGCAGAAUGUGUAC
rnacentral:lncRNA from 1 species